GCUCCCCUGGCGUAAUGGUAACGCGUUGGACUUCUAAUCCAAAGAUUGCGGGUUCGAGCCCCGCGGGGAGUG
rnacentral:tRNA from 4 species